GCGAGCAUAGUAUAGUGGUAGUACGUCUGCUUCCCAAGCAGAUGGCGCGAGUUCAAUUCUCGCUGCUCGCA
rnacentral:tRNA from 1 species